UGUGUGUGAAUAUGUGUGUGUAACUGGUAGACAAAGACAUAAAAGGCAAGUGCAAACAUAAAUUCUCUUUUUGCAACCCAAAACUCAGUGUUUGGUAUGCCUUUUGCUACAUAUACUAAUGAAUAUG